CGCGCAAAACAGAAUAUUUUCGAUAUAUAGCAAAUGAUAUGGAUUUGAAGUCUCUACCCGGACGCCGUAAAUGACCGGACUAUCGAAGUUUUUAUACAGAGG
rfam:Firmicutes bacterium CAG:240 genomic scaffold, scf94